UGCCAGCCGCCGCGGUAAUACGGAGGGGGCAAGCGUUAUUCGGAAUUAUUGGGCGUAAAGGGCGCGUAGGCGGCCAUGCAAGUCAGGGGUGAAAUCCCUCGGCUCAACCGAGGAACUGCCUCUGAAACUGCAUGGCUUGAGACCGGGAGAGGGUGGUGGAAUUCCUAGUGUAGCGGUGAAAUUCGUAGAUAUUGGGAAGAACACCAGUGGCGAAGGCGGCUAACUGGCUCGGUACUGACGCUGAGAUGCGAAAGCGUGGGGAGCAAACAGGAUUAGAUA
rnacentral:rRNA from 1 species